GAUGAACGCUGGCGGCGUGCCUAAUACAUGCAAGUCGAGCGAACAGAUGAGGAGCUUGCUCCUCUGACGUUAGCGGCGGACGGGUGAGUAACACGUGGAUAACCUACCUAUAAGACUGGGAUAACUUCGGGAAACCGGAGCUAAUACCGGAUAAUAUAUUGAACCGCAUGGUUCAAUAGUGAAAGACGGUUUUACUGUCACUUAUAGAUGGAUCCGCGCCGCAUUAGCUAGUUGGUAAGGUAACGGCUUACCAAGGCAACGAUGCGUAGCCGACCUGAGAGGGUGAUCGGCCACACUGGAACUGAGACACGGUCCAGACUCCUACGGGAGGCAGCAGUAGGGAAUCUUACGCAAUGGGCGAAAGCCUGACGGAGCAACGCCGCGUGAGUGAUGAAGGUCUUCGGAUCGUAAAACUCUGUUAUUAGGGAAGAACAAAUGUGUAAGUAACUAUGCACGUCUUGACGGUACCUAAUCAGAAAGCCACGGCUAACUACGUG
rnacentral:rRNA from 1 species